rnacentral:lncRNA from 12 species
UUUGCAUAGAAUUUGAGAAUGAUUUUUGACUUUGAAUUGAACUCGUAUGCACCUCAGUAAGCUUUUACGUGACUCAUAGAAGAAAAGUCUGAGUGACAUAAGUGAGGAAACCGUUGAACAACCUCACAACCUCUCCUUCUGUAAUAGCUCUCAGAAAGGGGCCUCAAUAAAUAAAAACACUGAGAUUUCUAAUAACUUUAAAGGCAUCAUUGUGUUCUUCACUGCCUACGGUAACGGACACCCCAAAGGUGGGGGCGCCUGAGCUCAGUGUCCAGCGUUACCUUCCCCACACCCAUUCUACAGCAGUCAUGUAGUUUAGGUGGAAUUAACCCCUCCAUCAGCCCCAGGGCUCAAGUCUGAUUGUUAGGAUCCAUCGGGAUCAUCCCACCCCGUUUGCCGUGGACGUUGGCUUCAGUGGCCUUGGCUUAAGCCAAUCGAUGGCUGGGUCAGCGGGAAUCUCAGAACGUCUGUUAGGUAGUUGAGGAGAGCAACUUAUCUUUCCCAGAUAAGAAAAAGGAAGCACGUGAAUCUACUUGUACCGACAGAUAUCCUAUAACUUCAAGGGGUCCAGCCCUAGGGUGAAGCCCACACUGUCGACGGAAGAUAGAGCUCUGAAAAAAAAAAUGGAAGCAACAGAGUCAACGAUGACAUCAUGGAGCUAACCAUUCUGAAACUCACACCCCCGGAGUUCCACGGAACCUAUUAACUCCGUUAUUGUUUAAGGCGAGGCGAGUUGGUCUUUCCGUCACUUGGAAUGGAGAGGCUUUCCAACUGAGGCAGAAACAUUGGUCUGUGGCACACCCCAAAAAUCACAUUAAAAUGAGCACAGAUGAUUAUGAAUGUUCCGAGUGGACUCCUUGCCGCCCACCUGGCUUAAGGACUGUAAGGCACUUCGGAAAUCAAAUUUCAGGAAAGAAGAUUGGUUUGAGAAACAAUGAACGAGGAGAAAUCUUCUCUUUGCAGAGCUGCUGUGUGUCAAAGUUUAUCCUCAUUAUAUUAUGUUUCCUCUUUUGAAGGCCCACUGAGAUGAGUUUCUGCUAAUUCUCUUACAUAAAGUAGGAUGUGGAGGUCUCCGAUUCCUGCUCAGAGCUGGGAAUGGCCGCGUUCUGCAGGCUGGUGCCUCGCUGGAGCUCCAGAAAGAGCAUGUCUCCAAUGUCGAGCGCAGCUGGAUGGCUCCUCUGAUGAUUGGGACUCUCUCCUGUUUGCAGUCGCCCUGAAGCUUGGGUUAGAGCAGCCAAGGAGGCUUCAGCACAUGUCCAGGCCUUGUCACAGGUGCCUGGGAAACUGGCUCAUCUGGAGUGUUGGGAUACCUGGGCCUCUGCCUUCCUUCCAUGUAGACCCAGGGCCUCAGUGUUGCCCUGGAGACUCUCCAGAAGGGCAGCUGGACAUCGGAGGUGGCGGUUCAACGCUCCCAAAAGGGCCAACGUAGAAGCUGUUGGUGCCGUGUCCCAUUUCCACCACAUUCUUUUGGUUAAAGUGGGUCACGGGGCCAAAGAGAGUCAAUGUGGGGUGAUGUGGACAGGAGUAUGAAUGUGGGAGGUCUGGGUCCCCGGGGCCUCUUUGGAGAAGAGCUACCGUCCACGGUGCUAGUGCUCGCUGAGAAUUGAGAAACAAACAAAUAAAAUAAAAUAAAAUAAAAAACUAGAGGAGGAG